rnacentral:rRNA from 1 species
ACUUAAAUUGAAGAGUUUGAUCAUGGCUCAGAUUGAACGCUGGCGGCCGGCCUAACGCAUGCAAGUCGAGCGGUAGCACAGAGAGCUUGCUGUCGGGUGACGAGCGGCGGACGGGUGA